rnacentral:rRNA from 1 species
UAAUACUCCAUAGAUCAUGGGAUCUGGAAUGACCCAUGGUUGAAAGUUCCGGCGCUUAAGGAUCGCUCUGCGGCUUAUCAGGUUGUAGUGGGUGUAACGUACCCCCUAGCCAGUGACGAGUAUGGGCCUUGAGAGAGGGAGCCCAGAGUUGGAUUCUGAGACACGAAUCCAGGCCCUACGGGGCGCAGCAGUCGCGAAAACUUCACACUGGGGGCAACCCCGAUGAGGGAAUUCCUAGUGCUAGGACAUUUGUUCUAGCUUUUCUCUAGCGUAGAUAACUAGAGGAAUAAGGGCUGGGUAAGACGGGUGCCAGCCGCCGCGGUAAUACCUGCAGCCCAAGUGGUGGUCGAUUUUAUUGAGUCUAAAGCGUUCGUAGCCGGUUUGAUAAAUCCUUGGGUAAAUCGGGAAGCUUAACUUUCCGACUUCCGAGGAGACUGUCAAACUUGGGACCGGGAGAGGCUAGAGGUACUUCUGGGGUAGGGGUAAAAUCCUGUAAUCCUAGAAGGACCACCGGUGGCGAAGGCGUCUAGCUAGAACGGAUCCGACGGUGAAGGGACGAAGCCCUGGGUCGCAAACGGGAUUACAUACCCCGGCUAUCCAGGGUGUAAACGCUGCCGACUUGGUGU